rnacentral:rRNA from 1 species
CGUUGUCCGGAAUUACUGGGCGUAAAGGGUGCGUAGGCGGCAUUACAAGUCUAAUGUGAAAAUCCCCGUGGCUUAACACUGGGGUUUGCAAUAGAAACUGUAAAGCUAGAGUGCAGGAGAGGUAAGUGGAAUUCCUAGUGUAGCGGUGAAAUGCAUAGAUAUUAGGAGGAACACCAGUGGCGAAGGCGACUUACUGGACUGUAACUGACGCUGAAGCACGAAAGCGUGGGGAGGC